CUAGUACUCGCUCCGUUCCGAAUUACUUGUCUUAGAUUUGUCUAGAUACGGAUGUAUCUAGCAUUAAAAUGAGUCUAGAUACAUCCGUAUCUAGACAAAUCCAAGACAAGUCAUUUAAAACGGAGGGAGUACUAU
rfam:Triticum urartu cultivar G1812 contig430694, whole genome shotgun sequence.